rnacentral:rRNA from 1 species
UACGUGGAGGGCAAGCGUUUGUCCGGAAUCAUUGGGCGUAAAGCGCGCGUAGGCGGCUCGGUAAGUCCGCUGUAAAAGUCAAAGGCUCAACCUUUGAAUGCCGGUGGAUACUGUCGGGCUAGAGUCCGGAAGAGGCGAGUGGAAUUCCUGGUGUAGCGGUGGAAUGCGCAGAUAUCGGGAGGAACACCUGUGGCGAAAGCGGCGCACUGGACCACUUCUGACGCUGAGGCGCGAAAGCUAGGGGAGCAAACAGG